GACGAACGCUGGCGGCGUGCUUAACACAUGCAAGUCGAACGGGUCUGCCCUGUUUUUUGCGGGGUGGGUCAGUGGCGAACGGGUGAGUAACACGUGAGUAACCUGCCCCUCACUUCUGGAUAACCGCUUGAAAGGGUGGCUAAUACGGGGUGUUCUGGCUGUGCCGCAUGGUGUGGCUGGGAAAGAUUCACUUUUGUGGUGUUUUGGUGGGGGAUGGGCUCGCGGCCUAUCAGCUUGUUGGGGGGGUGAUGGCCUGCCAAGGCUUUGACGGGUUGCCGGCCUGGGAGGGUGGGCGGUCACGCUGGGACUGAGAUACGGCCCAGACUCCGGCGGGAGGCAGCAGUGGGGGGUAUUGCACAAUGGGCGGAAGGCUGAUGCAGCGACGUCGCGUGGGGGAUGGAGGCCUUCGGGUUGUGAACCUCUUUCGCCGGUGAAGAAGGUCCUGCUCUUUGUGGUGGGGUUGACGGUAGCCGGGUUAUGAAGCGCCGGCUAACUACGUG
rnacentral:rRNA from 1 species